rnacentral:rRNA from 1 species
GACGAACGCUGACGGUGUGCUUUAGACAUGCAAGUCGAACGAGAAAGCCCUUCGGGUGAGUAAAGUGGCGAACGGGUGAGUAACACGUGGGCAACCUGCCCCUCGGCGGGGGGACAACCGGAGGAAACUCCGGCUAAUACCCCGUACGCUUACGGGAUCGCAUGAUCCUGUAAGGAAAGGUAGCUUCGGCCAUCCGGCGAGGGAUGGGCCCGCGGUACAUUAGCUAGUUGGUGGGGUAACGGCCCACCAAGGCGACGAUGAUAGCUGGUCUGAGAGGAUGAUCAGCCACACUGGGACUGAGACACGGCCCAGACUCCUACGGGAGGCAGCAGGUCGGGAAUCUUGCGCAAUGGGCGAAAGCCUGACGCAGCAACACCGUGUGAGUGACGAA